CUACGGGGCGCAGCAGUGGGGAAUAUUGCACAAUGGAGGAAACUCUGAUGCAGCAACGCCGCGUGGAGGAUGACACUUUUCGGAGCGUAAACUCCUUUUAUAUAGGAAGAUAAUGACGGUACUAUAUGAAUAAGCACCGGCUAACUCCGUGCCAGCAGCCGCGGUAAUACGGAGGGUGCAAGCGUUACUCGGAAUCACUGGGCGUAAAGAGCGUGUAGGCGGAUAGAUAAGUCAGGAGUGAAAUCCUAUGGCUCAACCAUAGAACUGCUCUUGAAACUGUCUAUCUAGAAUAUGGGAGAGGUAGAUGGAAUUUCUGGUGUAGGGGUAAAAUCCGUAGAGAUCAGAAGGAAUACCGAUUGCGAAGGCGAUCUACUGGAACAUUAUUGACGCUGAGACGCGAAAGCGUGGGGAGCAAACAGGAUUAGAUACCCUUGUAGUC
rnacentral:rRNA from 1 species